UACGUAGGGGGCGAGCGUUGUCCGGAUUUAUUGGGCGUAAAGAGCGUGUAGGCGGCCAGGUAGGUCUGCUGUGAAAACUCGAGGCUCAACCUCGAGACGUCGGCGGAAACCAUCUGGCUAGAGUCCGGAAGAGGAGAGUGGAAUUCCUGGUGUAGCGGUGAAAUGCGCAGAUAUCAGGAAGAACACCCGUGGCGAAGGCGGCUCUCUGGGACGGUACUGACGCUGAGGAGCGAAAGCGUGGGGAGCAAACAGG
rnacentral:rRNA from 1 species